rnacentral:rRNA from 1 species
AUUGAACGCUGGUGGCAUGCCUUACACAUGCAAGUCGAACGGCAGCACGGGGCAACCUGGUGGCGAGUGGCGAACGGGUGAGUAAUGCAUCGGAACGUACCUUUCAGUGGGGGAUAACGUAGCGAAAGUUACGCUAAUACCGCAUAUUCUGUGAGCAGGAAAGCAGGGGAUCGCAAGACCUUGCGCUGAUUGAGCGGCCGAUGUCAGAUUAGCUAGUUGGUGAGGUAAAGGCUCACCAAGGCGACGAGCUGUAGCGGGUCUGAGAGGAUGAUCCGCCACACUGGAACUGGGGCACGGUCCAGACGCCGACGGGAGGCAGCAGUGGGGAAUUUUGGACAAUGGGGGCAACCCUGAUCCAGCCAUGCCGCGUGAGUGAAGAAGGCCUUCGGAUUGUAAAGCUCUUUCGGCCGGGAAGAAAUCGCACGGGCUAAUACCCUGUGUGGAUGGCGGUACCGGAAUAAGAAGCACCGGCUAACUACGUGCCAGCCGCCGCAGUAA